CCUACGGGAGGCAGCAGUGAGGAAUAUUGGUCAAUGGGCGCGAGCCUGAACCAGCCAAGUCGCGUGAGGGAAGACGGUCCUAUGGAUUGUAAACCUCUUUUGUCGGGGAGCAAAAGACGCCACGCGUGGCGUUCCGAGAGUACCCGAAGAAAAAGCAUCGGCUAACUACGUGCCAGCAGCCGCGGUAAUACGGAGGAUGCGAGCGUUAUCCGGAUUUAUUGGGUUAAAAGGGUGCGCAGGCGGAAGAUAAAGUCAGCGGGAAAAUUGAGAGGCUCAACCUCUUCGAGCCGUUGAAACUGGUUUUCUUGAGUGAGCGAGAAGUAUGCGGAAUGCGUGGUGUAGCGGUGAAAUGCAUAGAUAUCACGCAGAACUCCGAUUGCGAAGGCAGCAUACCGGCGCUCAACUGACGCUCAUGCACGAAAGUGUGGGUAUCGAACAGGAUUAGAUACCCUGGUAGUC
rnacentral:rRNA from 1 species